CUGAAACUGCGUAAAAAGUUUCUCUGAAAUGCAGUCUCAUUUUGCGGUUCCUUUUGCGAACCUUGUAUCCCCUUUGCGUUUGACUGACUCAUAAAUAACACAUUAAAAUGAAGAUUAUUCUUGCUUGUUUAUCUUUGACGUGGAAACGGAGGGUUUUCCGUGUUAUUCCGGUGUGGUGUUUGAGCAGGCUAGAGAUCAGUGUGAGCGUGCAUCUGUGAGGAACAGCGGAGGCUCGAGCAGGACGGGAGUCACUGGACCGACGGCGAGCGUGAUUUCACCAAGUACAACACGUUCCUGGAUCAACAUUCCAAUCAACCAAUCAGAACUGAGAUAUAACAUUUCAGGACAUAGGCUACAGGAUGUUUUCCACAGUUUUUAAAUGUAAGAUCAUCUUCACACUCAUCUGUAUUGCAUUGUGUAACGAGCCCACCAAGGAGGACUUGAAAUGUUUUAAUGACUAUGAGACAGAAAUGAAAUGCAGUCUCUCCUCUGACCAUCUCCAAAACUGUUCUGGAUACGAGCUCAACAUCACACAUCCUGUAUUAGAUAUGU